rnacentral:rRNA from 1 species
UUCUUUAUCACCGAGUGCUUGCACUCACCGGUAAAGGGUUGAGUGGCGAACGGGUGAGUAACACGUGGGCAACCUGCCCAAAAGAGGGGGAUAACACUUGGAAACAGGUGCUAAUACCGCAUAACCAUAGUUACCGCAUGGUAGCUAUGUAAAAGGUGGCUAUGCUACCGCUUUUGGAUGGGCCCGCGGCGCAUUAGCUAGUUGGUGGGGUAAAGGCUUACCAAGGCAAUGAUGCGUAGCCGAACUGAGAGGUUGAUCGGCCACAUUGGGACUGAGACACGGCCCAAACUCCUACGGGAGGCAGCAGUAGGGAAUCUUCCACAAUGGGCGAAAGCCUGAUGGAGCAACGCCGCGUGGGUGAAGAAGGUCUUCGGAUCGUAAAACCCUGUUGUUAGAGAAGAAAGUGCGUGAGAGUAACUGUUCACGUUUCGACGGUGUCUAACCAGAAAGCCACGGCUAACUACGUGCCAGCAGCCGCGGUAAUACGUAGGUGGCAAGCGUUAUCCGGAUUUAUUGGGCGUAAAGGGAACGCAGGCGGUCUUUUAAGUCUGAUGUGAAAGCCUUCGGCUUAACCGGAGUAGUGCAUUGGAAACUGGGAGACUUGAGUGCAGAAGAGGAGAGUGGAACUCCAUGUGUAGCGGUGAAAUGCGUAGAUAUAUGGAAGAACACCAGUGGCGAAAGCGGCUCUCUGGUCUGUAACUGACGCUGAGGUUCGAAAGCGUGGGUAGCAAACAGGAUUAGAUACCCUGGUAGUCCACGCCGUAAACGAUGAAUGCUAAGUGUUGGAGGGUUUCCGCCCUUCAGUGCUGCAGCUAACGCAAU